rnacentral:rRNA from 1 species
UACAGAGACUGCGAGCGUUAUUCGGAUUCACUGGGCGUAAAGGGUGCGCAGGCGGCCGUGUGUGUGAGGCGUGAAAGCCCGGGGCUUAACCCCGGAAUUGCACCUCAAACUACACGGCUAGAGCAUUGGAGAGGGUAGCGGAAUUCACGGUGUAGCAGUGAAAUGCGUAGAUAUCGGGAGGAACAUCUGAGGCGAAGGCGGCCACCGGGACCAACACUGACACUGAGGCACGAAAGCGUGGGGAGCAAACAGG